rnacentral:rRNA from 1 species
UACAGAGGUCUCAAGCGUUGUUCGGAUUCAUUGGGCGUAAAGGGUGCGUAGGCGGCGCGGUAAGUCGGAUGUGAAAUCUCGGAGCUUAACUCCGAAACUGCAUUCGAUACUGCCGUGCUUGAGGACUGGAGAGGAGACUGGAAUUUACGGUGUAGCGGUGAAAUGCGUAAAUAUCGUAAGGAAGACCAGUGGCGAAGGCGGGUCUCUGGACAGUUCCUGACGCUGAGGCACGAAGGCCAGGGGAGCAAACGGG